rnacentral:rRNA from 1 species
CAGCAAUGCGUGGCAUACGGCUCAGUAACACGUAGUCAACAUGCCCAGGGGACGUGGAUAACCUCGGGAAACUGAGGAUAAACCGCGAUAGGCCAAGGUUUCUGGAAUGGACACUGGCUGAAACCUAUAUGGCCCCUGGAUUGGACUGCGGCCGAUCAGGCUGUUGGUGAGGUAAUGGCCCACCAAACCUGUAACCGGUACGGGCUUUGAGAGAAGGAGCCCGGAGAUGGGCACUGAGACAAGGGCCCAGGCCCUAUGGGGCGCAGCAGGCGCGAAAAUUCUGCAAUAGGCGAAAGCUUGACAGAGUUACUCUGAGUGAUGCCCGCUAAGGGCAUCUUUUGGCACCUCUAAAAAUGGUGCAGAAUAAGGGGUGGGCAAGUCUGGUGUCAGCCGCCGCGGUAAUACCAGCACCCCGAGUGGUCGGGACGAUUAUUGGGCCUAAAGCAUCCGUAGCUUGUUCUGCAAGUCUUCCGUUAAAUCCACCUGCUCAACAGAUGGGCUGCGGGAGAUACUACAGGGCUAGGAGGCGGGAGAGGCAAGCGGUACUCAGUGGGUAGGGGUAAAAUCCUCUGAUCCACUGAAGACCACCAGUGGCGAAGGCGGCUUGCCAGAACGCGCUCGACGGUGAGGGAUGAAAGCUGGGGGAGCA